CUUCACAGCAUUAAAAGCAAAGAGCCCCUUAGUUUGUCAGCAGCUACGAAUGGAGUAACCUGCUUUGGCUGUAGGUUAAAGUGGGCUGAGUCGAAUUGUGGUGGCCAUGCACCCAGAGCAGCGUACAGAUGGGCAGCUGCUGCAGGUCCUGUGGUGGCUGGUGAUUUCUUACGCGCUCCCAAAGCGUCUGUGUCCCUGACAUGUGCGAAGUGUGUAUGUCUGCAUUAUCCUAGGUAUCCUUCAGCCCAUUUUAUAUUUGGGUUCCUUUAAAAUCAGCGUGUGAGAUGCUGUCAGAUUAGCUAUUUUAUACUUAUGUUGGGGGAGGGAUGUAAAGCUUUACUGUGAGGGUAACAAAACCAUUUUCAGAUGAUUGAGACGCCACUUACAUCGUUCUGGGAAAUUCGGCCUUGCAGAGGCUAGUAAAAACUAAAAUUCAAGCUUGUGUGGUGUUUAGCAGAACUAAUACCACGUAGCAUUUUCUGGUUAUCAUUUCAAAACCUCGGUGACAUUUUAUCUGAAUGUCCCCAUACAGGCGCCAUUAUUGACGGGUCAGAAUCUCAGGAGCAGCCGGGGGCAAACGGCAACCUCACUGGUGUAUGAGGGCUCCAUCUUCCAAAAGGAAUUGCAUCACAGCCAGCUGUGAUGUCAGAGCUCAGGGUUCAGUGGGUUGGCAGCAGCUUCCAAGUCUGGUGUUUCAAACCAAGCAGCACAGCAGCCUGUGUUCCUUUUUUGUUCUUUAAAGAAAAUGAUUAGUCCUUUCAGCUUUAAAAUAUCUCUAAAAGAGAGAAAAGAAAAAAAAGGGGGGGGGGAGAACUAUUUUAUUUUCGUUUGCCAUGACUGUUAGGCAGAAAGAGCCUUCUGAUGCUUUGAGUUGGGAAGUAAUUAGUCUUGGGAAUGUGAGAUGGGUUAUAAUCUUAAUGUCAUUUUACCAUUACUAAAAUAAGCUAAUUUUGUCCUUUGCUAAUCCAUGCAAAUCCCAUUGAUUUAAUAACAUUGUAUGGAUGAAAAUAAGAAAUAUGGCUGGCCUAUAUUUUGGGAUCUCCUUGCCUAGUGUAAAAGCUUACAGAGCACAUUGUUUGAUGAAGCAGCCAUCCCCCUCAUAUGCUGGAGCACUGCUACUAAGUGCUGGCACAAGCCAGAGCAUCGCCUGUAGCUGUUGCUGUUUCAGAGCUAGCAGGUGAAGCACAAACCCUCUCAUUUCCCUAGAGUAUGUGUAUGUGCAAUUUGUCGGUACGUUUACAACAAAAUAGGCUAAGAGCAGAAAACAUGUCUAGUGAUGGUGAAACCUGCUUUAUAUGAAAUGAGAGGCUUCAAAAGCUUACGCAGAUCUUGAAAAACAAAAAAUGCUGGACCAAACAUUGCUAUUUCAGUCAAAUUUAGAACCUUCACCUACUUAAACAGAAACACAUUUAGGUCAAUGCUUUGUGCUUUGCAAAACCGUCUCACUAAUCUCCUUCAGAGCAUUUCUGACUGUGAUUUAGGUGGCGGGGGGGGAGGGAAGUGCUUCCAGGCUGAGACUUGUAGCUAAGUUGUCAUAUGGAGUUAAUCUGUUGAAAGGCUGAAGUAGAUAGGAGCUGAAUCCUGAAACCUGCUAUUUACUGGCGAGUAUACUUGCAUGUGGGUAGUUAUUAUUUGGAAGCAUUCAGCCAAGAGAUCCAGAAACUUUUGGUUUUUAAACUGUUUGCCUAAACCGUGAAAGCAAAUUCUAGUUGCCUGGGUUGAUCUUGCUUUGUUUGUGUGUUUCAGCAAGAUUCAGAGAGGUUGUGUCAGAUGAGCUCUUCUAUACGCAGUUUCUUGCAUUCGUCAAGUUUGCGUCCUGUAAGCAAGCUACAAACAUCAAAAGCUCCUGUGUCACUGGUGGUCUUCAGUGCUGGUGGUUUUAUGAAGUUGGUGCUAAAAUGGAGUUGCAGAACUGAGGGAGUUAAACUAAGGAGGAGGUGGCCCUGUGUCCUUUCCAGGCUUCCCAAGCAUCUCAGUUGCUUGCUUUUGCGGGCAGGGAUUGGGCCCCAUUCCUGUUUGGGUUGAUGCUUCAGUUCUUGCCUUUACAUGUCUGCUUUAUCCGCAAGCAGUAAAAUCAAAAGCUGACAACAGACCUGAUCUUGAUGGAGCACUGCAGCGGUAGCCUGGCUUAUCUGGAAGUACAGAUAGUAUUAAAAUGUGCUCUGUCAAAGAGGGCCAAUUGUCAAGAGGUGGAAGUGAAACUGCAGCACAGUCAUGCACAGCUUUGCUGUCUAGCCAUUAUAAGGCCAAGAAAGUUAGGUAUCACAAAAUUAAAAUUCAUAAUCAAAACAAAAGUACUGUAAUUGCCUGGGGCAACAGAAGCUAACUGUUCUCUUGCAAAUUUGAAAUAGUCAUUUAAGUCUUCCUUCAACUUCCUCUUUUUAUUGUUGUAGACCUAAUAGCCACAGAUUGUUGUGACACCUUGCAUUCACUCAGAACCUACUCUUCCCUAGGCAAAAAGUACAUUGGAAGUGCUCUCCUUGAGACUUGGUGGGGAGUUAGCACAGAUAGGUACCGGCUGUGUCCUGUAUCCACUUGCUGAUUGCUCUUUCUUGGCAGAGGGUAACUCGGCAGU